ensembl:lncRNA
ACUGUAAGGCUGGGCACCCUGCUCAGCACAAGCCUGAAUGUGCUCCACACGCCUUCUGCAAAGGUGCUCUGGCCUCCAAAGGCUGCUGCUGCUUUUUGCCAUGCCCGAGUGUGAAAUAUUUCCUCCUGUGGCCCCAGCAUUUUCUCGUUACAAGUCUGUGACUGUUUGGAAGUGAAUCUCCCCACGGAGGCUUUAGGAAGGGGCAGCUCUUAUAACACUACAGGAACCAUUGCUCUGCUUGUCAAUUUACCAAAUACCCUGAAGAAAUUGCUAUUUAGAAAAAGGAAAUUCAAGCAUUUAUAGAACAUAUUGCUAUUCAAAAACCAAAAGAAUUGUUUUGCAAAUCAUAGCACUGCUGAAGAGGGGAAAGAAGUACAUCAGUCAUCUGAUAUUACAUAUAAGCAGUUUAUUAAAGAAUUAAAUAUUUAUAGACUAUAAAGCAAGCAGGGCGAUGAGUCGCAAACAGCUUGCUGAGAAGUAUGUUAUAAACAAUGAGUCUGUCAGUGACUAAUAAAGUAUGGAGAACGCAAAUGUUUUCUAAAAUCGCCAAGCCAGCUAUGAAUCUCCAAAGCUGAGAUGCUGCAGGACCCACUAAGGUUCCUGCAAUGUGAGCCUGGAGCCAAUGUGGGAGGGACAAUGGCUGAUGAGAUCUGUGUGGAGUGCAGACACAUGCUGAGCACUCGUGGGAAUGCACAUGAUUCAAUGCCUUGGAGAGAUUUAAUUUUUCACAUUAUUCUAAACAGAGAUCUAUUAAUAGGAAGUUCAGGAAUUUUCAAAGAGUUCAGGGCACUUCCCUCUUCAGUUUUUCACUGCAUUUUGGACAGAAUUAUGGUUUGUGAUUCAGAGAGAAAUUCCUCUCUCUGCAAAGGCCUUUCCUUCCCUCCCCCCAGAAAACCAGGUGUAGGUACCCCAGGCACCAGCUUCCCUGUCCUGAGCAAUCCUCUGGAUUGACUCACGGGCUGCAGCCUGACUCAUGUUUGGAGAACAGCAGCUUUCCCCAUCACAGACACAGCACAUUCACAACUACGAUUUUCACAGGCUGUGUAAGACAAACAAAUAGAUUGUAGCCCAGGAGGACAGGAACACCUUUUUGUGUGCAAACAUUGGGAGAAACUGCAGUUGACGACAAAAGUGUGUUUUUUCCUAAGUGAAAAGGACAGGUCUAAUUUUUCAACAGAAUACAGGUAUCUGUCACAGUAAUUUGGGGCAUUGCUGGUUUAUUGCUAGUGGAAAUGAAAGACUCUCCAGGUUAUUUUUUAUUUUUGUGAAGCCAACCCAUGGCCAAGAAAUUAUUUCUAAUGCAGGAUGAGCUGACGCCUUUGGUCGUGUCAUAGCUGAUCCCUGUCGCUGUCCCCACAGCUUCGAGUCUGGUGGGAUGGCUGAAGCUCCCAAGCGGUGUAGGCAUUCGUGACCCUUUUGAAUUCUCUCUCUUUGCAUGACAGCAUGACUUAGAACCCCUGAAACAUCCUCAUCAUCACAAAUUCCAUUCCUCAGACAGUCACUGACUAUCUUCCUCCCAAGGCAGCAAGCCAGUGUGGUCUGCUGAGAUGAGGAGGGGAGGGUCUACAGAGACAGCUGAGUGAGCAGAGCUGCUGCCUCCUUCCUCUCCUCAAUUAAGUCCCUAUGAAGAGACAUCUUUAAUUAACACAGGAAUAAGCAGGGUAAGACCUAACUAGGGUUGGUGAAGACAGAUUCCAUUUAGGAUGUAGAGAGAAACCUCACUUUGCCAGCUGUUCUUUCUGCACUUAGACAAGGUGGUAGGUGUUAAUCCUUUGAAGACAGAUAGUUUUUUACUGUUCAAAUGCAGUAAUUAGUCAAGCUUAUUUUCCAUGGAGGGUAUAUCAGACUAAAUUUUGCUUUCAAUAGCAACCUUUGUUGUCUUGUGUGGAAAUGAUGACACCGUAGUUCAGAUCUCACCAGAAUUCUAGGCUGAUGCAGAAGGUGUAUAGAAAAGCACAGCCCAAUCAAAGGCCCAAACCCCGUUAGCUCCAGAGGAAGUGUUUGCAUGGUCCGGGGCUCCAACACCCAGAGCUCAUUAUCUUCAGGGCUCUCUACAGGAAAGCAUGGUGUCUCCCAGAGAGCACUACCACCAGUCAGAUACAACAGCUCUUCCUGUGCUGCUGGAGCCACUGCUAUCUCCACCAGCUUCACCAGUGCACUGAGUGCUGCAAGAAUCCUUAAGCAUGAUGCCCAAACCAAGACAAGAUUAGCUGAGCUUCACCAUUGUUUUCUUCAUACAAUGUUCUCCCUUCUUGCAGUCCAGCUCUUGUCUCUCUCCAUACCAGCAUACCACGAUGUUUUUCACCCCCCCCAGAUAGAUUUCUUUCCCCCAGUGAUUUCACCAAGUGUUACGCUAUCACUCUCCUUCCUUGCAAUCCUAAAAUUGUGGAACAGACGGCAGUGUACUUGGGGUUACUUGUAGCAAGGGUCUUGCCUCCACGUCACAGACAAGCUGUUUGCAGGAUAUAAAGGUCUGUUCUUGACCUGUCCUCAUCUCUCUUGCUGGAGAUUUCAGUACUGUGCUCAUCUCCUUCCAGCUCAACCCCACAGGGCCAUCAGGACACAUCAAUUCAUGACAUAACUCACUGACCCAGGAUGUGACACACUUUUCAAGUCUCUGUUCCCUCUUUGGUCCUUUGCUCCUUCGGUCUUUAUCUCCUGUCUCCAGGCACCCUUCAGCACUCAUAACUCCCGAUACCCUUCUCUGUACUGACUGUCUUCCUUCCAACCAGACAUUUCAGUGGGUUUUGUGCUGUUGCUUGAAAAACAAGCACUGCUGAGCCUGAAGCUCCCAUUCUCCCUUCCUUGUCUGCCACUGUCACACUUCAACACUGACACCCUGUUUCCUAAGUGUUUGAGAAGGUCCUUACAAUUACCAACACUAUCUCAAUAAACAAAGCAUUAAAACUCUGCUAACAGAGAGAGAACGUGCUGCCCAGCUCUACCAAACAGGCUGGGACAUUUCUCCUUCCGAAGUUCUGCUUGUGCCCAGGCAGUCCCAUCAAGCACAUCUCCUUCAGGAGGAGAUUGCUUCUCCUCAAACACGGAGACUAGCUCUGCUUUCACCAUUUUGGGACAUACUGUGUCCCAACUGAAAGGGCUCCUGCCCUGGGAAUAAGGUGUGCACAGCUCAUUACUGCAGUCCCUGACUUGUCAAGACCCUCCCCAUUUGCUGUCAUACUCGCAGGACACAUGCCUGGUACCACUAAGUGUCUGGCGCAUGCAUGGGCCUGUUUCAGUGGCAGUUUCACCUGUUUCAGAGCCAUGACUGUGAGGUGCCAGGUACUUCCACUGCCUCCUAAAGGCAGUAGGAGAGACAGAGAAGCCAGGGCAGUUGUGUGAAUGCUCAGAGAGAACGCUGCAGAAUCAGAAUGGUCUAUACAUUUUAUUAGCAUAUUCCUGUUUUCUGGUGGUGUGAUCUGCAGGAUGGAGGAUGAGGAAUCCCAGCUAAGUAUGGAUUAAAUAGCUGCGUGCUCAAGCAAGCAUCAGAUGUACAGGUUGAAUCAUAAAGAGGUGGUAUUUAAAGGUGUGCUUACUGCUACUCCAGUAAGCAUUUUGCAGAUCUCCAUAUGAUGCUAAGCAUUAGCGAGGCAGGUCAUCUGCAUCACUCAUGCCAGGAAACCCGACGAGGGAGAUAAUGACAACUGCUGUAUGAAGGCAGCACCACGCUGAGCCUAGC